CCUACGGGUGGCUGCAGUGGGGAAUAUUGGACAAUGGGGGGAACCCUGAUCCAGCCAUGCCGCGUGUGUGAAGAAGGCCCUCGGGUUGUAAAGCACUUUCAGUGAGGAAGAACGCCUGGUGGUUAAUACCCAUCAGGAAAGACAUCACUCACAGAAGAAGCACCGGCUAACUCCGUGCCAGCAGCCGCGGUAAUACGGAGGGUGCGAGCGUUAAUCGGAAUUACUGGGCGUAAAGCGCGCGUAGGUGGCUUGAUAAGCCGGUUGUGAAAGCCCCGGGCUCAACCUGGGAACGGCAUCCGGAACUGUCAAGCUAGAGUGCAGGAGAGGAAGGUAGAAUUCCCGGUGUAGCGGUGAAAUGCGUAGAGAUCGGGAGGAAUACCAGUGGCGAAGGCGGCCUUCUGGACUGAAACUGACACUGAGGUGCGAAAGCGUGGGUAGCAAACAGGAUUAGAUACCCGGGUAGUC
rnacentral:rRNA from 1 species